rnacentral:misc_RNA from 1 species
GUCUUUCCGGUGAGAUAAUCGAGAAGGGGUUUACGGUCAGGUAGGGUAACCGCCGGAAUACGAAGAGAACGAGAUUGCUGAAUGUAUUCAGUGUGUUUAAGGUGGUGAUUGGUGAUGAAGUUGAUUAGGGUUUCGAGAGUGUACCGAUUAGCUUGAACAUGUUUGGAGCGAUAAGCGGUUUCGAUUGUGCAAGGGAAAGUGUAGUCAUUGCCGAAUCGGUAGUCGUCGCCGAUGCGAACAAUCUUGUGGAGGUCGUUGCGUAUGGUGUACUCACGGAGGAGUGUGAGGGGGUCCAUGGAAGAUCGAUUAGGGAUUGAAAAUUGUCACUGAAAUUAAGGGGAUUAGAGUAUGUUGGACUAGUAGUUCAUAGAGACUACUGUAUGGAACAAGUUGGC